rnacentral:misc_RNA from 1 species
GGUGGGAGCGGGCUUGCUCGCGAAAGCGGUGGUUCAGUAAUGAAUAGGUUGACUGACACACUGCUUUCGCGAGCAAGCCCGCUCCCACA